rnacentral:rRNA from 1 species
AUGCUUCUCCUCCAGAAACACGUUCUCCUCCUCUCUCUCCGUCCCCGCGCCACGAGUGCCCUACUCUCCUUCCAGCACCGAUGCCUCUUCUCCAACACCCGAUUCGCCGCCGCCGCCGCCGCCGCCGUGGCGGCGUCGGCUAGCCCUGCCCCGUUCGCCGUGGAGGACUACCUCGUCGCGUCUUGCCACCUCACCCCGGCGCAGGCCGUAAAGGCCUCCAAGGUCCUCUCCCGCCUCAAGUCCCCCUCCAAGCCCGAGGCCGUCCUCGCCUUCCUCUCCGACCUCGGCCUCUCCGACGCCGACGUCGCCGCCGUCGUCGUGUACGACCCUCUCCUCCUCUGCUCCGAGGUCGACAAGACCCUCGUCCCGCGCCUCGCCGAGCUCCGGGACCUCGGGCUCUCCCCGUCCCAGAUCGCCCGCCUCGUCCUGGUCGACCCCGCCCGCUUCCGCCGCCCCACCAUCAUCUCCAAGCUGCAGUACUACGUCCCCCUCUUCGGCUCCUUCGAGAACCUCCUCCAGGCGCUCAAGUACAACUCCUACCUCCUCAGCUCCGACCUCGAGAACGUUGUCAAGCCCAACGUCGCGCUCCUCCGGGAGUGCGGGCUAGGUGAUUGCGAUAUUGCCAAGCUAUGCAUCCCCGUGCCGAGGCUGCUCACCAGCAAGCCAGAGCGCAUCCAGGCCAUGGUGGCGCGUGCUGAAGAUGUCGGUGUGCCCCGUGGCUCUGCGAUGUUCAGGCACGCGCUGCUGGCUGUCGCAUUCCUCAGCGAGGAGAAGAUUGCUGCUAAGGUGGAGUUCCUGAAGAAGACUUUCAGGUGGUCGGAAGCUGAGGUGGCCAUUGCUGUUGCCAAGCUUCCUGUGGUGCUGAGGAACUCCCAGGAGAGGCUGCUGCGCAUGUCGGAAUUCUUGAUGUCCGAGCCCAGGUGA